CCUCCUCGGAGGCCCCGAGUGGCAUUCUAAUAAAGUAUCAUGUUUUUAUAGGCGCACUGUAACCCCUGCAUUUCCCCAAUGGUGGAUUCGUGAGGAGUGCGGGGAGCAAACUGGAGAGGCUCGUCAUGGAAUGGCGCACACAUUGUCCGCGUGCCAUUCCCUGCAACAUGAAAGCCUAUCGUCUUUUCCAUGUAAUAGAUAAUGCCACCAGCAGCAUGCCCAUGCGUCAGCGGGGCCGGUGCAGUUGCGCACCAGCAGCAGUUUCUCCAGUUACCCAACAUCUCCAAAGGAUGGCACCAUUUCCAAGGUCUUAAGACACUGGGCAGCCGUCUCUCCUCAGGAGCCUCAGACCAACCUGCAUCGACCUCUUCAUCCCUGGGCCCUUCACUGAGGCCCCUGCUCGAGACUGACCUUUAAUAAACCUGGUGAGCGUGUACGGCAGAGUCUGCAGCGUGGCAUACGCGUAGCCAGUGAGCGCUGCCAUGACAGUGACCAGGACCACACUCUUGGACAGGCAGAUGACCAGAGCAGAGAGCGUGAAGCUCACCAUGCUGCUCACGUACACCCAGCGGGAGCCAAAGUGCCGAACCAAGCGACUCAUGGCCAGGGAGAAGAAGGUUGAGGUAGCACACUGCAGGAACAGGCCCAGGCUGCCCAUACGGAUACCUGAGAGCAGAGGGAACCACACAUUACAACCAGGAGGUUCACAGCUGUUACAGUGACGGAAACUCUGUCCUGUGUUUCAGAAAAUAUCUCAUGUUCUGCCUUUGUUGCCUCCGCUAAGGAAGUUGUGUUUUCACCUGCAGGCAUUUGUAGUUUGAUAGUUUGUUAGCAGGAUAAUGCAAAAACUACCCAAUUGAUUUCUAUGAAACUUUGUGGAGGGGUGGGGCAUGACCUGAAGAAGAACACAUAACAUUAUGGUGUGGAUACAGAUCAAGGGGCAGAUCAAGGAAUCAUUAAUUUCCCAGAGAAUAAUUAAUGGGUCUUGAUGAAAAAAAAAAUCUGGCAUAUUAAAGGCACUGAUAUUUAUGAGUGAGUCUAAUUCCGUGCAGAUCCAAAUAGAAAUCUGGAUCUACAGAAUGUAAAUGUAGUUUGGGGAGAUAUGUGCUCUACUGAGUUUCUUUCUAUGAACACAUCUAGUGAAGUACAGCCACACUGAUUUUUUAAGGUGAUUCCCAUAUUAGGAAGUGAAAAAUGUCCAAUAUCGAUACAUUAGCUGAUAUAUAAAUAUAUAUAUAUACAAUUGGCCAUGAUUUCAAACAUGUUUUUAUAAAACUCUUAUGACAAAAGGGAAAUUGAGGUUUGACAUUUUAAAGUCUAACCAAAAGCUUUAUUAUAAAUAACUAGAAAUAAAAAGAAAACACAACCAAAUAUAUAGAACUUGAAUUCAGAAAAGAAUCCCCGGCAAAGAUCCGGUUAGAGAGUCACUCACAGAGCUGCUCAGCACGGAGACACAUCACAAACAUCAUUAACCUUAGAUAAAUCCUUGAAAAACCCAAGAGGCCGGACCGUGUUUACCGAGGCGCCGUGCCUCCCGGCCCCGCGUCUGGCCCGGUGAGCCAGCCAGACAACAAACGUGUGGAUGAGGUCUCACCGACAGG